UUAACUCAAAUUUCUAUGGAGUUGGAACGUUCGCCUACGUUUGCCGCUAGGGGCGCUGUUCCAACUGCAUACAAAUUUGAGUUA
rfam:Bombyx mori DNA, contig: Bm_scaf17_contig12629, strain: p50T/Dazao, build 2, whole genome shotgun sequence.